CUUCGCAGUGGGCAAGGAGGCCUCCCCCAAGCUCUGGUCCCGGCCAAGGCAGAGCGAUGCGCUCCUUGCGUCAAAGCGCACCCCUAGCCAGGCCGUUCCCUGGAAGGGCAAGCGGGGCGGGGAGUUCCUCUAAGCCCCGCCAGUCCUGGGACCCCUGAAGUUUCUAUUCAGGUCUUCCAGCUACUCCUGGAAAAGUCGCGUCAACUUGGAUCCCAGCAAACCCAGAAGCGCAGUGAAAGUGGCCAACCCGGUCGCCUAGAAGCCAGCCCCGGCCUCUGUCUGUAAAUGAGGCCGUCACCCGCUCCCCACCACACCCAAACGCAUCUAGGCAAAGUGUGGACCCGACCAGGCGGGUUUUCCUCCUUCUCGCAACUCCUCCUCCUGCCCCCCUCCCUCCCAAAUCUCAUCUGAGUGAGUCAGCUGAGGGUGGCAGCUCAGAAGCGAGGCAGCCGUGAGGCGGAGGACAGGCUGGGGGAUCCCAAAGGGUGCGCUCCAGCCCCCAACCCAGGCACUGGGACUCUGGUGGCACCCUGGGUGGCAGGCAAGCCUUGAAAUCAAGUGCACGAGCCUUGGAAAGGAGGACCGGGAGAGUUAUGGCAUUUAUGAAUGAAGAAGAGAAAGAGAAUCACUCGGAUGGGAAAAGUUAACUGGAUUGUUCCCACCUGCAUGGAUCACCGGAAGCAACUUAGCCGUCUCGCCUUGCGGCCUGGAACCCCUGGCAAUUUCCGGAGCACCGGCAAGAGACUUUUGCACAGUUUCUGCUUGGAGUCUACCGACUGUCUGUCUCAGAGGUCUGGACAGCUGCUUGUUACAUUUGGCUCACGCUAGCUUAAAAAAGGAAUUUAUGGACCUUACUGCAGAACGUCCCAAUUCUUCAGGCCAAGGGUCCAGCUGUGUCUCCAGGGCUGCGUGGCUUAUUGAAAAAGAGAGUGUAUGGUGGAUUUCAAUAUCUAUAUUCUACAAAAAAUGUAAAAGGGGCAGGGGACGGGAACAAAGAAACCAGUGCUGGUGAUCCUGCCCCCACAGUAAGGUCUGCUUUAGUGUGGACAUGGGACAGGGGCCAGCCCCUGCUGCUCCCUGGGGGAACACAGGUCCGUGGGGGUGGCUCACCGUCAUGUAUGUGAUUUUGAUGUUUGUACAUUUGUUGUACCACAUGAACCAGUCUUGGACGGCUGUUCUGAGUAAAUGGGAUGAUGUGGGUAAAGCCCCCAAGACCAGAGCCUGGCACAGGGCCGUGCUGGAUAAUGCUGACUCAUGGUGAUGAGGGGAAGGAGGAGGCAGGAUGCCAUGGGUGAGGAGUCCAGGCUCCAGUGCUGCUGAACCACCAUCCACCAGUAUGAUCUCAGCAAGCCUCUCUCCACCUGGACCCAGAUGAUUCACCCGUUAAACAUCCCAGGCACAUUGAAGGGAGAUGAACAGCGUCCAGCAUGGUCCUCAGCUGUGAGAAGCCAUACACUCGCCUUUUCCACCCUACAACUUUCCGUCAUCUGGGGUGCAGGUUUCUUUCCUCUCUUUUUACUUAUUACAAGGUAAAAUACAGUCUUAUUACAGAAAACUAGAAACCAGAAAAGCCCAUCACACAGUCAUUCAUUCAACAAAUGCGUAUUGGGAAGGGUGGGGAUGAGCCCCUGGUGGAAAUGGGGUGAAGCUGUGGACUUUCUCUGGGUGCGAUGAAGGCUGACGGAGGGCUUUGAGCAUCCUCAAGAUUCAGAAGUCUGUUCUCAGUCAUCAGCAGCUGUACCAGGAGAGGAAGAACCUCUGAAGUGUUCUGGCUCCAAAAGCUAGUGAAAGUGCAGAUUUCCUGAGAAGGAGUGAAGCUUAGGGCCCUGCCAGGCAGUGAUGCUUUCUCAACUUUGGGGGCAGUAAAAUGUACAGACUCUGGGGAAGGAGACCAGGAAGGAGGCUGCAAAGUGUGCAUGCUCUGGGAAGGGGGCAGGGAAGGCUGGCAAAAAGCUGUUGGGGACCCAGCCAGGCUGCUUCCCUUGGAGGCCCAGCCUGAGAUGUGUUUCCCACCAUAUAUGGCAGAAAUGAUUUCAGGUGCUAUGUAGAUAAGCCACGAACUAUCAUUGAAUCUUUUCUUGGUUGUAUUGUGAAAGAAAAAGUCUCUGUUGGGUGCUGGUGUAUCUUCGACACCACUUAACACUUGUCAAGCUCUCCUUUACUGAGGUAAAGCAGUCCUCAGGCUCAGAGCUUGUGACCAGGGAGCGGUAUCUAGCCAAAAUUUUAUUUCAAUGCUUUGUUUUCAUUGUCUUUAAAACAAAAGAUGGUUAUCUUCCAUUUGCCAUG
rnacentral:lncRNA from 1 species